rnacentral:lncRNA from 1 species
CACAUACCGGUUCAUGCUCAUCAUUUGGAGUCAAGGCAAUCCUUUGGUUCCACUUGAAGAAGAAUAGUUAAUGAAAGGGUUUAUAAUAAGGGAGUUAUAAAUGAAGGGGUACAAAACCUAGAACUUCACAAGACUAUGAAAAAACCACCGCCCAUUUGAUUGUUAAAGAAAAUGCAAGAAAAAAAGCUACCAAAAAGGCAGUAUUGAAUAAAGGACUAGCCAAGCAGAAGCAGGACAUCUGGCUGCACUUGAGAAGAAUAAGCAAAAAAGGAUAAGGGCAACAACUUCUCCAGAAUUAUGUUCCUUAGUUUGAUGAUGCAAAUAAUAAUCCAGACUUUCUAUAGGUAAAUGAAAUAGGUGUUAUUGUUCCACUGCCAUUGCCACCAAUGACUAAGUUUGACAUCACUAGUGCUAUAAUACAACUACUAAACCUAAAAAUAGUGUUCACAAGCCUUUCUACUGAUGGUGUAAGCCUUCAUCUAAUGAAAUUUGUAUGGAUUUGAACUACCUAUAACUUUUCUAUUGUGAGUCGAGAUAAUACUAUACUAUAAUUGCUUCCCUUCUCUCUUACUAGAGAAAAACUCUAUGGUUG